CUCUCUCUCUCUCUCUCUCUCUCUCUCUCUCUCUCUCUCUCUCUCUCUCACCCUUCCAUUUCUUCUCUCGCUUGUCUCUUUCUCCCUUUCCUUCUCUCUCUUUCUCUCUCUCUUUCUUUCUCCCUCUUUUCUUCUCUCUCACACUCUCUCGCUCUGUCUUUCGCUUUCUCUCCCUCUCUUUUCUUUUCCAUCUUUCUCUCUCACCCUUUCUCUCUCUCACUCCAUCUCUCCCUCUAUUUUUCUCUCUCUCUCUCUUUCUCGCUCUCUAUUUUCUUCUCUCCCUCCUCUCUUUCUCUCUCUCACUCUGAUCUGUUUUAGCUAAUAAUUGCUGCGUUAGUCAAAACACCCAUUCCCCAUUCCACCGAGCCCACCAUGGUGCCUCUGCUGACCCCAUCAGCCUUACCUAGAGCACCUUACCUCUGCGCGGCAGUGUUCAUCCCAAACAUGUUGACAAUCUACAUGGGACGGGCACAGUGACGUGUCAGCAUGGCGUGGAACACAUACACCAGGUCGCUUACCGGAGCUGCAAGCACCCUAACCCCACACAGAGCAGGGGGGCAGACGCAGAGGAGGCUGCCCGACCACUUCCGUGUUCCAUUUUGAGCCGAGUGUGUUUCCUGGUGUGUGGCAGAGCGGAGCACGCCCCGGCUGUGAGAUGGAGCCAGAUGGAACUAGUGCAGUGUCAGUGUCAGAUGGAACCAGGUGGAACCACUACAGUAUCAGUGUCAGAUGGAACCAGAUGGAACCACUACAGUAUCAGUGUCAGGUGGAACCAGGUGGAACCACUACAGUAUCAGUGUCAGGUGGAACCAGGUGGAACCACUACAGUAUCAGUGUCAGGUGGAACCACUACAGUAUCAGUGUCAGGUGGAACCACUACAGUAUCAGUGUCAGAUGGAACCAGUGCAGUGUCAAGACGGUACAAGGCGACAGUGAAAUGCUUCGAAGAUUACCCAGAAAGGAAAAGGGGAAGUUGGUGGGCCAAAAAUACAACGUUGUAAUCGGGGGAGAUUACAGAGAGAGAGAGAAUGUGUGAGCUAAACAGUUUAUAUUGCUGCAAAGGGAAGUUGGAACUGAUCAAAUGAUUUGUCUGAAAUGAGAGGGCGUUGACGAAAGCAUGUAAAAGAGACAUUGCAGACCAAGUGAAGAAUAAUAUCUUAGAAAAUGUAAUUUGGGGUUUGAAAUCCUCUUCAUCCCAACUAAUCUCUGACCUACACAUGGGCAGAAUAUGACUAACAUUAUCUAUGUAUUAUACAACAUACAUACAUAUAACUAUGAUUCACUGGCACAUUAACAACAGUGUAAUAAGCCCAGUAAGGAUAAAUAAGGACAUUACAUAUACAUAUGAAGUGCUGAAAAUCUAUUGGUAUUCCUUCUAUGAUGUUAAACAUAGCUGGUAUAUGCUAUUCUGUCACUGGUUCUUAAAUAUUGGUCUGAUGCCGAAAACACGAAUGGAACAAACAAAGAAGUCUUGAGCAAUUAAUAUGGAGAACCAAAAUGAAUAUUUUCUCAUGGGUCAAGGCAGCGUUUUGGGCUGAGCAUUGAAAGAAGGAGAAGGGAGGGGGACUAAGUGGCCAUCCCCAUGGUCACGGCCAACAUUGUGAUACUUUCACUAUGAGUGUCAAAGAAGCCUUCCCUUCUGGGUGAGUCGUCCUUAACCCCUCCCCCCCAUAGACAGACAGAGCUCCACUCUCCCACACAGGCACCGUGGCGCUAUGAUGUCGCAGAAGCACUCUCUCCCUCUAAUAAAGAUAAAGCUCAGAUCAGAGUAGGACUGGUCGACAGAGAGUCAAAAACAUAGGAUGCUUCAAUGUCACGUUCAAUGUUAAAAUGUGCUCAGUAGGACUGCAUAGCAUUCAUUUUUAUCCGUGCUAAGCUUCCGCUGUAAAAGCCAGAGUGUGUGCGUGAGCGUGAGUGCGCAUGUGCAUGUGUGAUUGUGCUAUGAGACGGGGGGAAGGGGGGUCUUGGCGGCAAAUUCAUCUUUGACAUUAGUCAGAUUCAAAGCCUUCUCCCAACAAGCCCUUAGGGCCCGAGACAAAGUGAAUGCCAUUGCAAAAGAGCAUGCAUCUCCUUUUAUGCAGCCUGCCUAGCCUAACCACAUCCUGAGUCUCAUUGUCCUCCCCAGCUACUGUGGUAUCUCGUCUGUCACGCACCGUCUCCUUGUCUAAGACACAAGGGGAAAACGUUCUCUUCACGUUCGCACUGUGAUGAAUAAAGAACCAAAAUGUUUCUAUGUUUUUGGCAAAUUGCCUUUAUGUAUCAGGGGGAUUGGUAUAAAUGAUGCAGAAUGAUUUAUAACACUUUAGGGUUACUAUGAUACGGAAACCACAAUAAUACUGUUUAAUGGCUACUAUAUAAAAAUAAAUAUGUUAAAAAAUUAAGAUUAAAAUAAUAUAGAAUAAAAAAAUGUAACGAUACCAUAGAAUCGGCCAACCUCAACAAAAUAAGGAAAUAAACAUUUUGCAAUUUUACUCAUUUUUUCAAGUCAGACAGGAAAUGGUGGUUAGCAUUCUGAAAGAACAAUUGUCCUUGGUAUUUGCACAUUUGCUAUAGCAACCAGGUUAUACCAAACACAGCCUAUACACAAGAUCCAGUGAGAAUCAUCUCUUCUUGCAACAGCCCCGGUUUCUCCACCUGCAGUAGCUCUCACCCAGCAGAGAGGGGUACGUUUCUCCACCUGCUUACCCCCAGCAGGGAGAGUUGAGUUCCUCCACCUGCUCUCACCAAGCAGAGAGGUGCUAGUUUCCCCACCUACAGCUAUCAGUCUGAGUUACAAGGUCUUGUCAAUCCCAUUAACACAGCAUCACCAAGGAGUCUGAGAUCUCUUUCCAAACCUGGCCAGAAGAACAGCGAACACGACUCACUUCUUUCCUGUGAUAGAAAACCAUCACGGCACAUUUAUGCGUGUGUUUUAUUGUGGUUAUAACAUCUAUUUCUAAAAACUUGCUAAAACUGAGGCACGGUAUGCAUCGUCCUACCGUGUUGCGAGCCGAUUCAUAAAUACGCUCUCUAGUGCAGAGCUUCCCCAACCUAUCCAAACCACAGCUAAUUAAAAUCCAAAACACCCCAACUACAUUCACUAAAGAAACCCUUGUGAA
ensembl:lncRNA